rnacentral:rRNA from 1 species
GACGAACGCUGGCGGCGUGCUUAACACAUGCAAGUCGAACGGAAAGGCCCUGCUUUUGUGUGGUUCUCGAGUGGCGAACGGGUGAGUAACACGGGAGUAACCUGCCCUUUACUUUGGGAUAACUUCAGGCAACUGGUGCUAAUACCUGAUAGGAGCUCCUGCUGCAUGGUGGGGGUUGGAACGUUUCGGCGGUUGUGGAUGGACUGGCGGCUUAUCAGCUUGUUGGUGGGGUAGUGGCUUACCAAGGCUUUGACGGGUAGCCGGCCUGAGAGGGUGACCAGCCACAUGGGGACUGAGAGACGGACCAGACGCCUACGGGAGGCAGCAGUGGGGAACAUUGCACAAUGGGCGGAAGCCUGAGGAAGAAACGCCCCGAUCGGGAUGAAGGCCUUCGGGUUGUAAACCGCUGUAGCCUGUGACGAAGCGGGAGUGACGGUAAUAGGUAAAGAAGCACCGGCUAACUACGUG